AGCGAACGUUUGCGGCGGGCCUAACACAUGCAAGUCGAACGGGCAGUCCCUUCGGGGGCUGUCAGUGGCGCACGGGUGCGUAACACGUAGGUAAUCAACCCUCGGGUUCGGGAUAACACUUCGAAAGGGGUGCUAAUACCGGAUGCGACGAGCGUCUCCUCGGAGAUGCACGGGAAAGAUCCGCAAGGGUCGCCCGAGGACGAGCCUGCGGCCCAUCAGCUUGUUGGUGAGGUAAUGGCUCACCAAGGCUAAGACGGGUAGCUGGUCUGAGAGGAUGAUCAGUCACACUGGAACUGAGUCACGGUCCAGACUCCUACGGGAGGCAGCAGUGGGGAAUAUUGCGCAAUGGGCGAAAGCCUGACGCAGCCACGCCGCGUGAGCGAUGAAGGCC
rnacentral:rRNA from 1 species